CCUACGGGUGGCAGCAGUGGGGGAUAUUGCACAAUGGGGGAAACCCUGAUGCAGCGACGCCGCGUGGGCGAAGAAGUAUUUCGGUAUGUAAAGCCCUAUCAGCAGGGAAGAAGAAAUGACGGUACCUGAGUAAGAAGCACCGGCUAAAUACGUGCCAGCAGCCGCGGUAAUACGUAUGGUGCAAGCGUUAUCCGGAUUUACUGGGUGUAAAGGGAGCGCAGGCGGCACGGCAAGCCUGAUGUGAAAGCCCGCGGCCCAACCGCGGGACUGCAUUGGGAACUACCGGGCUGGAGUGCCGGAGAGGUAGGCGGAAUUCCUAGGGUAGCGGUGAAAUGCGUAGAUAUUAGGAGGAACACCAGUGGCGAACGCAGCUUACCAAUCUAUAUCUGACGUUGAGGCACGAAAGCGUGGGGAGCAAACAGGAUUAGAUACCCUAGUAGUC
rnacentral:rRNA from 1 species